rnacentral:rRNA from 1 species
GACAGAGGGUGCAAACGUUGUUCGGAAUUACUGGGCGUAAAGCGCGUGUAGGCCGCUUGGAUAGUCGGAUGUGAAAGCCCUGGGCUCAACCUAGGAAGUGCAUUCGAAACUUCCAGCUGGAGUGCUGGAGAGGAAAGCGGAAUUCUCGGUGUAGAGGUGAAAUUCGUAGAUAUCGAGAGGAACACCGGUGGCGAAGGCGGCUUUCUGGACAGUCACUGACGCUGAGACGCGAAAGCGUGGGGAGCAAACAGG